rnacentral:piRNA from 1 species
UACGGAUACGAUCUCUAUUUU